CCUCAAUCCCAGUUCAUUCUCGACCUUACCGAGCUGAAACCCGCUUGAUAUAUUCGUCUGCAUGAUGCAUGUUAUGUGUGGAGCAAUUAAUGCCUGAAGCAUGCUAUUUAUGCCAUUUUUGAUUGCAGUAACAUGUCACGCGGUUGUCGUUGAAAAUCAUCAUUGAAAAAUCGAAAUGAAUGACAUCACUUUUACUCGGUGGACUGACAUUAUGACGUCAUUAUAAAAUCGUUAUCUUUUAGAUUGUUGCAUGAAUAAUCUGUAAUUUCCGAUUGUGGAACAAUCGGCCAAAUGUUUAGUGACAAAAUUCACCAACUUUUUCGUUUUUGUGGAUCUGUUUCAUGGUUAUAGAAAAUAAAUGCAUGGGAAUUCCUUCAGUUCACUAACACAAUACCCAAUAUUCUGUUUCUGGUCAGCACGACGUCCUUUUUAACUGCGCGUCUCUGGCGCGUAAACGUUUUUUCAGCAAUCUCGUUCCCAGAGUAUGCCUG